AGAACGAGGUCCGACUUCCUACCGGAAAAUGGAGGCGGAAAAUCAAAGUCUUUAUCUGGCUGACAUAGGGAGAGAAACACAGGUCCAAAGUAAAGCUUUGGCAGAUCUGAAGGCUAGAGCCUGAGAUCUCACGGCAGGAUUCCAGACGAUUGGACAAAGGCAAACUUCAGGACCGGCUGUGGCCUAAGGGGAUUGAGUGAAGAAACGAAUAUUCACCCUUUUAGUCUUGCCUACUUUCUAUUUUCCUUGGCUCUUGGAAAUGAGUAAAAAAUGAUCUUGAGGGCUCACUACUAGACAGAAAUACUUGCCAUUACUUCUACCACGACUCUCUCAAGAGGGUGAAUAAUCAGGUUGAAAAACUCGAAGCAAAGCUACUUGUAACUGAUUCGACUCCUUCCCGUUAGCAUGCAUUUCACACAGGACUCCUAGCCUAUUGCCACUUCUCUCUUUCGCUUUUUGUUUGUCUUCACAACCGGACGCUGAUCACAAAAGUAGAGGGCAGAUAUACGCAGGAAAAAAAAAAAACCCACAAAAACACGAGGAGACACCUGUUUUCCUUUAAGUAUCAAAGCAGUUUGGAUGCGGGUGGCUUCGUUUUAUUUUGUGUUACAAUUUCAUCUGCGUAAGUAAUUUUGAUUUUUUCAAAGUGCGACUGUGAGUGUGUUUGUAUUUUGCAUGUCGACAAUUCACACACCGGAAGACUGUUGGAGAAGCGGACGGUCUCCUGCUGGCAAUGACAAGGAGUUCUGGAAAGAAUUCAGGCUGCAGUAGGGCUGAUGAGAACAUCAGUGGGCAGCUCUCCAGUCUCAUUGGCACAGGCUACACUGGAGAUGAAACAGGCCCCUGAUUCACUGAAGAUCCAACAGCAAACGGGAUUAUUUUAAGGCAACCCUAUGUUAAAGAAAAUGUAUUUUCUUUAUAGCUUUUCUCACAAGGUUCCAACCUCUCAUUUGUGGAGAAAUGCAAACUCAGAUCAGAAGAUUCCGCUUAGGAUCAAGUUGAGCCUUCAGAUGAGGCCACAGACCCUGAAUGGACAGCCUGCUUGCAGCUGGAUCCACAGAAACUGUGGGGAACUAUCUCCCAACUCCGGUGAUCACGCGUAGAAGCAGAGCAUGUAAUUGCUCCUGAAGACAAAUUGCUCCUGAAGACCUUUGUCCUGAAGACAAAGCUUGGGGAUUUUAGCUCGUUAAAAAUAAGUGUGUUGUGAUAUUUAGUGAUUCUUUCAAAAGACAGUUCUUAUCUAAAAUAGUGAUUGUGAGCUAAAUUUUGAAAACAAUCCCUUUCCUGAUGCAAAAUCUUGUCGUGAGUUGUUUGAGGUCAAGAGAAAGGUAAGAAAUGUACCAACUGGCACAUAGAGCCUCAAGGCACGAUAGACUGGCAUUUAACUGAAACCUUUCUUUUUCCCUGCCAGCAAUUCUCCAUCAGUUAAAAAAAUAAAGAAAUCAAGAAAGUUCAAAUAAGUAAUCGACUGUUCUUAGAGUGCUUUUAGAAAACUUGUGAUUUAUCUAACACCUGUGUAGGCCAUUUAAUGAACGUAUUAAUCUUUUGUGUUUAUUACAAGUUGGGUUUUAAUAAUUAAAUAGCAUCUUUACUAUUUACGUGUCCAAAAAGACAAAACCCAAAAAUGUAUUUAAUUAUUUAUUUUUCUACUUUUCUGUGUUUUCAAUAGUUUAUUUCUGUAUGAUUAAAUGAUUUGUGUAUCUGCCUAUGUACGAAGACAUGUUUACAUACACCGUGGGAAGAAGAAAGUUCAUGGCUGUCCAUUUGUUCUAGAUCAAUUAGCAUUGCAUUUAAGUAUCGCUUUUCUGAUAUCUAGACAAAAAGGGAACUAUAGAAUUAUCUCCAUCUAGUAGGAAUUCUUGAAGAACGGGAAGCAUAUUUUCAUUGUUAUAGCCCCAGUAGGCCAGGAUUUUUGCCAAAUAAGGGAAUGAAUGAAUGAAUGAAUGAGCAUAUCUCUGAUUUCUCAUGCUGAAGCUGUGCCAUUGUCUCCAAGUUUUGACUUCUCUUAAGCUUUUGAAAACUCAGCAGAUUGGAUAACCAAACUCCAACUGUUCAGACAUGAAAAAUCAAGGGUAAAUAAGCAGCCAUACAAAAUUUAAAGACAGAAAUUUAUUUUAGGGCAUGCUGUUAUAAUUCCUCAAUUGAUGUCAAGGUUACGUUGGGAAGCAACAUUUAUCUUUAUAACCUCACCAAUUUGGUAACAUGUAUUUUGAACUCAGUAAAAUAGGAGGGUCAGCCUCUGUUCAAUGGGAGAGAAAAUUUAACCUGUUCCAAAUACACAGCUUUAAGAUGGGGAUAUUUAAAAUAGCAAGUAAUACCAUUUAUUAAGCUCCACCCGGUGCCAGAGAACCAAAAGGUUUAUGCUGAUGUAUCUAUUUAAUCUUCAUAGCAAUUUGAAAAGUAAAUCCUGUUAUAUCUGUUUUAAACAUGAAGAGACUAAAAUCAGAGUGUUUGAGUAAAUUACUCAAUAUCAAACAACUGGUAAGAACCUGAACACAAGUUGAUUUCAAUGCAAAGCUCUUUCAGAUCCAAAACUAAUUACUGAGUUUCCUUGACUGAAAAAUGCUACUGACAGUGAGAUUGAGGAUGAGCAUUUAGGGGAGAAGGGACCAAAACAUUCAAUGCAAACACAAAUAAUGUCACUGAUUGAUGGUAAUAAUAUACAUUUAGUCUUACAAGUAGAUAACUGCCUCCUAUAGAAUCACAUACGCAAAAAAACAACGUGUAAACUUCUUGCACAUUGAAAAUGUCAAAGUCGUUUUGAAUCAGUUGUGUCCAUUGACAGUUAAACAGUAUCGUGAUAAUUAACUGAUUUUCAUAACUUUCACUCUUGGUCUCUUUGACACUAAUAUUAAAAGUACCAAUAUAAUCGCUAAGGUUCAUUGCA